GAAUGCUGACAUAAGUAACGAUAAAGCGGGUGAAAAGCCCGCUCGCCGGAAGACCAAGGGUUCCUGUCCAACGUUAAUCGGGGCAGGGUGAGUCGACCCCUAAGGCGAGGCCGAAAGGCGUAGUCGAUGGGAAACGGGUUAAUAUUCCCGUACUUGGUGUUACUGCGAAGGGGGGACGGAGAAGGCUAUGUUGGCCGGGCGACGGUUGUCCCGGUUUAAGCGUGUAGGUGUGUGUUCCAGGUAAAUCCGGUUCACUUUAACACUGAGGCGUGACGACGAGGCACUACGGUGCUGAAGCAACAAAUGCCCUGCUUCCAGGAAAAGCCUCUAAGCAUCAGGUAACAUCAAAUCGUACCCCAAACCGACACAGGUGGUCAGGUAGAGAAUACCAAGGCGCUUGAGAGAACUCGGGUGAAGGAACUAGGCAAAAUGGUGCCGUAACUUCGGGAGAAGGCACGCUGACACGUAGGUGAAGUGAUUUACUCAUGGAGCUGAAGUCAGUCGAAGAUACCAGCUGGCUGCAACUGUUUAUUAAAAACACAGCACUGUGCAAACACGAAAGUGGACGUAUACGGUGUGACGCCUGCCCGGUGCCGGAAGGUUAAUUGAUGGGGUCAGCGCAAGCGAAGCUCCUGAUCGAAGCCCCGGUAAACGGCGGCCGUAACUAUAACGGUCCUAAGGUAGCGAAAUUCCUUGUCGGGUAAGUUCCGACCUGCACGAAUGGCGUAAUGAUGGCCAGGCUGUCUCCACCCGAGACUCAGUGAAAUUGAACUCGCUGUGAAGAUGCAGUGUACCCGCGGCAAGACGGAAAGACCCCGUGAACCUUUACUAUAGCUUGACACUGAACAUUGAGCCUUGAUGUGUAGGAUAGGUGGGAGGCUUUGAAGUGUGGACGCCAGUCUGCAUGGAGCCGACCUUGAAAUACCACCCUUUAAUGUUUGAUGUUCUAACGUGGACCCGUAAUCCGGGUUGCGGACAGUGUCUGGUGGGUAGUUUGACUGGGGCGGUCUCCUCCUAAAGAGUAACGGAGGAGCACGAAGGUUGGCUAAUCCUGGUCGGACAUCAGGAGGUUAGUGCAAUGGCAUAAGCCAGCUUGACUGCGAGCGUGACGGCGCGAGCAGGUGCGAAAGCAGGUCAUAGUGAUCCGGUGGUUCUGAAUGGAAGGGCCAUCGCUCAACGGAUAAAAGGUACUCCGGGGAUAACAGGCUGAUACCGCCCAAGAGUUCAUAUCGACGGCGGUGUUUGGCACCUCGAUGUCGGCUCAUCACAUCCUGGGGCUGAAGUAGGUCCCAAGGGUAUGGCUGUUCGCCAUUUAAAGUGGUACGCGAGCUGGGUUUAGAACGUCGUGAGACAGUUCGGUCCCUAUCUGCCGUGGGCGCUGGAGAACUGAGGGGGGCUGCUCCUAGUACGAGAGGACCGGAGUGGACGCAUCACUGGUGUUCGGGUUGUCAUGCCAAUGGCACUGCCCGGUAGCUAAAUGCGGAAGAGAUAAGUGCUGAAAGCAUCUAAGCACGAAACUUGCCCCGAGAUGA
rnacentral:rRNA from 1 species